rnacentral:rRNA from 1 species
UACGUAGGGGGCAAGCGUUGUCCGGAUUAUUGGGCGUAAAGAGCGUGUAGGCGGCCAGGUAGGUCCGUUGUGAAAACUGGAGGCUUAACCUCCAGCUGUCGAUGGAAACCAUCUGGCUAGAGUCCGGAAGAGGAGAGUGGAAUUCCUGGUGAGCGGUGAAAUGCGCAGAUAUCAGGAAGAACACCCGUGGCGAAGGCGGC